rnacentral:rRNA from 1 species
CCUACGGGAGGCAGCAGUGAGGAAUAUUGGUCAAUGGGCGCGAGCCUGAACCAGCCAAGUAGCGUGAAGGAUGACUGCCCUACGGGUUGUAAACUUCUUUUAUAAAGGAAUAAAGUGAGGCACGUGUGCCUUUUUGUAUGUACUUUAUGAAUAAGGAUCGGCUAACUCCGUGCCCGCAGCCUCGGUAAUACGGAGGCUCCGAUCGUUAUCCGGAUUGGUUGGGUGUAAAGGGAGCGUAGAUGGGUUGUUAAGUCAGUUGGGAAAGUUUGCGGCUCAACCGUAAAAUUGCAAUUGAUACUGGCAGUCUUGAGUACAGUUGAGGUAGGCGGAAUUCGUGGUGUAGCGGUGAAAUGCUUAGAUAUCACGAAGAACUCCGAUUGCGAAGGCAGCUUACUAAACUGCCACUGACAUUGAUGCUCGAAAGUGUGGGUAUCAAACAGGAUUAGAUACCCCAGUAGUC